UACGGAGGGGGCUAGCGUUGUUCGGAAUUACUGGGCGUAAAGCGCGCGUAGGCGGCUUUGUAAGUCAGAGGUGAAAGCCUGGAGCUCAACUCCAGAACUGCCUUUGAGACUGCAUCGCUAGAAUCAUGGAGAGGUUAGUGGAAUUCCGAGUGUAGAGGUGAAAUUCGUAGAGAUCGGGAGGAACACCAGAGGCGAAGGCGGCGACCUGGAUAGGUACUGACACUCAACUGCGAAAGCGUGGGGAGCAAACAGG
rnacentral:rRNA from 1 species